rnacentral:lncRNA from 1 species
GCCGAUUAUAUAUUUAAUACAUUCUACAAAUAUGGUUAUUUGUAUUGACUAAAUGCCAUUUUGUCUCAAGUUAUUCUUAUAAGCACAUCCAUCCAAAUACAUUUGUAAUUAAACACCAUUGCAUAUACGUAUAUAUACAAGAACCAUUCUUAACAUACUUACUACUCAUUUACAAAACAAAAUACUCAUAUCACAUUUAUAAAACUACAAGCCGAAUAUACCUAUACUUACCUCACU